rnacentral:rRNA from 1 species
GCGGAAGGAUCAUUAAUUUCGCUGACUUUCCACUGUUAUGAGGGGGAUUUCGGUCCCUUCUCUCCUUCCCUGGUCUUUUGAGUACCAAGUUUCCUUGGCAGGCUUGCCUGCCAGCUGGACAACCUAUAACCCUUUUAAUUUUAAAUCAGCGUCUGAAAAAUUUAAUAAUUACAACUUUCAACAACGGAUCUCUUGGUUCUGGCAUCGAUGAAGAACGCAGCGAAAUGCGAUAAGUAGUGUGAAUUGCAGAAUUCAGUGAAUCAUCGAAUCUUUGAACGCACAUUGCGCCCCUUGGUAUUCCAUGGGGCAUGCCUGUUCGAGCGUCAUUUGUACCCUCAAGCUCUGCUUGGUGUUGGGUGUUUGUCCUAUUCUUUGCAAUAGGACUCGCCUUAAAACAAUUGGCAGCCAGUGUUUUGGCAUUGAAGGCGCAGCACAUUUUGCAAUUCAAGCCCUAGCACUUGCGUCCAUAAAGCGGUUUUUACACUUUUGAACUCGGAUCAGGUAGGGAUA